UUGUGCUUGCUUGAGGUCCGGAGCAUUUCCCAAAGGAGAUCAAACCCGUGUAUUUAUGAGUGUCCUCUACCUCACAUGUAAAGGAACUGCAGACGUCCCGCCCUGAAGUUGGAGGGGUAUGGCCACGUUAACCAAAGCGGCACAUAAGUGCACUCUGCUGGAUGGAGCUGCAUGGUGCGUAUAUAGAGCUCCUUCACAAGGGUCCUGCUCGGCAACGAUGGAGUGAUCUGAAAGGCGAGUAUAUAGAUGAAGCAACAGUUGGGCUGUUUGGUAUACAGAUCCGUCGUGGAGGCAGCAGAAACAUGGGUAACGAGAAAAAACAGGACUAGUAAUGUGUUUCCUCGUGUCUCGUGUUUCUGCUGUUGCCUUCCUGAUGCAGGUGGGUAUAUGCUGAGAAGCGUCCCAACUUGGUGGACUCAAGGCGGUGCCGAGAGAGAACAAUAGUCCUCGGCGCGCAGCGCAGUAGUGGAUGGGUGCCACGCAGAGGAAGGCAUGAAGAACGACUGGGCACACCGCCUGCAGAAACUGCGGUCAGGAUCACGAUGGCGUGGGCAGGUGCACUAUGGGUCGUCCGGAUUCAGAGGAGGAGCUGGAGCAGCAGGAGUUCAGGGCAGAUUCGACGACAAUACCGCAGCCAGUACGUGCGCAUUCAGCUUAAGAGCUUGUCCAGAGCGAACUAUCAUGGAGGAGUAUCCUGAAACAGGAUGAACCCGAGAACAGAGCUCGCUGUUGUUUCUUUGAGUUACCAUGCACGGUUGAAUAAUGGGUCGGUCGCACUGCCUCUUUUAGUACGCGAAGCAAGGAUUGGCUUGCUCUAAGCGAAAAGCCAGAACCUAUGAGUAAGGCCGGCCAGCCGCAAAUCAAGGCUAUGGCGUGCGCUCUGAAAGUCGGCUAGGUCGCUGACAGCUUCCUCUGCUGUCGCCAAGGGGGUUGUAGCUUACUUCCCGCUACGGUGCAACAAAAUCUUGAUAUAAUAUCGUAUCAGGAAGGGCACCUGCACCCUUGUUGUAGUCACACGGUAUAUGCCGAGCUGAAUACUCAUGGUAAAAAACUUUCAAAAACCAGAAAGAGCAUUCCCAUAUGGGUGAGUAACCAGAACUGUUGGCGUCGAUUGCAAAUAUCAACGGCGAAUGAUGAUGGUUGAUGGUGACGAGUCUUCCAUUCAGAAGUGGUCAGAAGUGGUCAGAAGUGGCAGAAAUGUGGACAUCUAGUCAGUGGUUUACCCAGAAUUUCGUCCUUGGGGGUAUAGACGACCCCUACGUCAUCGAUUACAUUUCGCCGCCGCGCAAAGCAUGCUGGUGGGCAUUAUAAGCUUUAUCGGCCUAUCAGCCGACGCGUUUUUCCCGCUUCUUGCCCACAACAGCAAAAUAUAACCUCGAACCGGUCUUCUCGUGACAUCACAUGUUUGUAAACAAAGGGCCGUCUGUAUCAGAGGGGGUGUGACGUCACGACAUGGAGGCUAGUCCCAUGUAAUUGUAAGCUGUUUGGUGAAAUACUGUGUAAUCUCAAACAUUUUGGGGGUUGUCUUCCAGAUUUGGGGGGUCUUAGGGGGUGCACGGCAUCUAGUGUCCGGUGCCGGAGUCUGUCGUAGCAAGUUUCCGCACACCACUUGAACUUCCAGGGGAAGAAUCCCAGCGACAAUGUUUCGCCAAACUCUUUGAACUGCUGUGAUUGAUGUGGCGUAGAAAAUCGCCACCGCGAAUAACAAAACUCGUCCCGCUAUGACAUUCGCCGCCGCACAGUCGCUCGAGAGGUCAUGUGCUUACCAGAACCAAUAGGAACGGCCGAUGCUAUCGCUUUUCUGAAGUCGGAGGUCGACGUCGAUUAUAAACGACGAGAAUUAGCCGAUGUUUGCUUGGCGAAUUCAGCGCAUAAGCGCACUGCGUCGAUGUGGGCUCAGUGGUGGUGUAGACACAAACGGAACGACCAAUGUUAAACGCGACGUAUGUUGCACUGAAGCGACCAGUGUAACAUGCACACCCAAGCCAGUGCAAGUUUUCCUGCGCAACAACGAACAGUGCAAAUUCGCCAACCAACGGGUUUAAGUGUAGCGUCUUUUACUCCCACCUGUAUAACAAUGGCAACAAGGUUUUGAAAUGGCACGACUGAUUUUAAAAGAAUUGAGAACACCAUGACAUGCUUGAGUAAGAGCUUCAAUUGAACAAUAGUGCUUAGGCGAGUAAAUUGUGGAAUAAAUGACGAACGCAGCGAUAUACACACAUCACGGAAAACUGGCAUGCUCCCCCGCCCCCUAUAAAGAAAGAUAUUUCCGGAUUCCGUCUGGAACAAGGUCCAUGGAACAAAGGAUCUAUAGAAAUGGUCUGUUUUCGCGUCACAUCGGGUCGCUAAAUUGGCCUCCUAGACUUGUUCCCUGGUCUUAACCCAAUCUAAAACUUGUUGCGGAAAGUUGAGUGCGAAAUCUCUAAGGACAAGCAUGCAACAAAACGGGAGUUAAUCGACGCUCUUAUCUUGGCCCGGAAUCGGAUAAUCACGCCGGCUCUCCGUGUUUCAUCAAUGCCCAAAUGAUGUGCGAAGGGCUGGUAAACCAAAUAUUAACCACUUUGUAUCUAUCGCGUCGCCCUGUUUGGGUUAUGUAACGCUGCCGCAAUAAUUAUAAACACAAAUAUUGCGGAGUACAAGAAAAUGGUAUUGGCGCACUAUAGCCUUGUUGUUUGUGCUCCAUAAAAACUUCAAUCAUCAUCAUCACAAAAAAUGGCUGCAUCUUUGGGCACUGUGCUAAACGCGUUUAAACGUGGUAAAUUUACAGGGCCAUGGUUGGCGGUAAAUUUUUAGUCACACGGUCAACUGUAACGCGGUCCUAUAAAUCUACGAACGGACCUGUGACAGGGCCUACAGUCACUAUACAGGGUGUUUUUUUUUUUUGUUUGUUUCAAUCAGGAUAAAAAGGCUAUUAGAGCAACGUGAAUUUCGU